rnacentral:rRNA from 1 species
GCCUAACACAUGCAAGUCGAGCGGCAUCGGGUAUAGUAGCAAUACUAUAUGCCGGCGAGCGGCGGACGGGUGAGUAACACGUAGGAACUUGCCCUUAAGAGGGGGAUAACCAGGGGAAACUUUGGCUAAUACCGCAUAAACUCGAGAGAGGAAAGCUGCCUGAAAGGGUGGCGCUUAAGGAGAGGCCUGCGUACGAUUAGCUAGUUGGUGAGGUAAAGGCUUACCAAGGCGAGUAUCGGUAACUGGUCUGAGAGGACGACCAGUCACACUGGGACUGAGACACGGCCCAGACUCCUACGGGAGGCAGCAGUGGGGAAUAUUGGACAAUGGGGGGAACCCUGAUUCAGCGAUGCCGCGUGAGUGAAGAAGGCCUUCGGGUCGUAAAGCUCUUCAGGUUGGGAAGAAGGGUGAAUGGUGAAUAGCCAUUUAUUUUGACGGUACCGACAGAAUAAGCACCGGCAAACUCUGUGCCAGCAGCCGCGGUAA